AUGACUAACAGAACUUUCAGGUCCUCUUAGUCAUGUGUUUUUGAAGUGGAAGGUAGCUUUCUUAGAUUGUCUCCAUGGAGUAGUUUUAUUUGCUAUUAGGCUGCCCCUUUAAAUCAAUCUUAAGUAGUGAACUUUUUUUUCAAGCUGUUUAUCAUCUGACUUGUUCCUGAAGCCACCUUGUGCAAAUAUAUAUUUAUCAAACCUGGUAUCUUAUGAAUGUUCCUUGCAGACAUUGCUGUGUUGUUUGUAUUUUGUCUUCAGUGAAAGAAAUGCAAAACAAAUCUAAUCAGAAAACCAAAUUGACAAAUAAAAUCAUUUACUGAAUGAAUUUUUUUGGUUGUAUUUUGUUUGUAAAUAUUCUCUCUACAAUGGAAGGUUUGGUUUGUUUUGUUUAAGUAUACAGUCCUUGCAGCCUUUGCAAAAUAGCCACUGUGGCUACAGAAGUUCUAAGCAAGAAAUGCUGUGGAGAAAUGAGGAUUGACUUAAACAUUAACUUGAAAGGAUGAUGAUUCAACUAGACUGAGGUCAAAUGAGCAGAAGCAUGAAAUUGAAGCAGUGUACAAGAUGGGUGAGUUUCUCUGGGAUGUUACAGCUUCCAAAUCAUAAACCUGACACUGCAGUUCAUUCACCCGCUGGAAGGCAUCCAGUUUUAAACUACGUUCUUGGAUCAACUGGCUUCUUAUCUAAGGAGGAUGGCAAUAUCACAUGAAGAGGAUUCAGGUUAAAAAAGAAAAAAAAGAUCUUCGGACAAUCCUCGUUCAAAGCAAAAUCACAAGCUAAAGGGCUCAAAAGGAGGAGAAGCAGAUGCCUUCAGCAUCAGAGCAGCUGUUUUGUGUAUGUUUUGGCUGUCAAGGCACUCUUGGAUCUACGUUAUACUUCCAUAAAUCUCCUAAGAGGAUCUAGAUUAUCCCAGAACUGUUUAAACACAAAAUAUAUAAUCAGAUAAGAUGCUGGAAAAAGAGGAACAUGGACUAGCAGUCACCAUGGAGUCCCUUGCGCACAGUAUUUUAGAAGGUUUUCCUGAGCCUGCUCUGACCACUGAUGGUGAUGUAUUUGUUACUUACCGAUCUUUUCGUUCCCUCCCCAGUCCGCGGUCAGAGGCUCUGGAUUUAGGGAAUCAAAACAGUUUGUGGAGUUUCCUAAUUGAGCAAAGCUGAAAAGGUA